rnacentral:rRNA from 1 species
AACGCUAGCUACAGGCUUAACACAUGCAAGUCGAGGGGUCUGCUUCGGCAGACGACCGGCGCACGGGUGAGUAACGCGUAUCCAACCUGCCCUUCAUAUUGGGAUAGCCUCUCGAAAGGGAGAUUAAUACCGAAUAACAUGGUAAAGUUGCCUGAUUUUACCAUGAAAGCUCCGGCGAUGAAGGAUGGGGAUGCGUUCCAUUAGGUAGUAGGCGGGGUAACGGCCCACCUAGCCGACGAUGGAUAGGGGUUCUGAGAGGAAGGUCCCCCACACUGGAACUGAGACACGGUCCAGACUCCUACGGGAGGCAGCAGUGAGGAAUAUUGGUCAAUGGGCGCAAGCCUGAACCAGCCAAGUAGCGUGAAGGAUGACUGCCCUAUGGGUUGUAAACUUCUUUUAUACGGGAACAAAUGGAGGUACGUGUACUUUUUUGCGUGUACCGUAUGAAUAAGCAUCGGCUAACUCCGUGCCAGCAGCCGCGGUAAUACGGAGGAUGCGAGCGUUAUCCGGAUUUAUUGGGUUUAAAGGGAGCGUAGGUGGCCUGUUAAGCCAGCUGUGAAAUACUGUAGCUCAACUACAGCCGUGCAGUUGGAACUGGCGGGCUUGAGUGCACAAGAGGAAGGUGGAAUUCAUGGUGUAGCGGUGAAAUGUUUAGAUAUCACGAAGAACUCCGAUUG